GAUGUACGCUGGCGGCGUGCCUAAUACAUGCAAGUCGAGCGAAUGGAUUAAGAGCUUGCUCUUAUGAAGUUAGCGGCGGACGGGUGAGUAACACGUGGGUAACCUGCCCAUAAGACUGGGAUAACUCCGGGAAACCGGGGCUAAUACCGGAUAACAUUUUGAACCGCAUGGUUCGAAAUUGAAAGGCGGCUUCGGCUGUCACUUAUGGAUGGACCCGCGUCGCAUUAGCUAGUUGGUGAGGUAACGGCUCACCAAGGCAACGAUGCGUAGCCGAGCUGGGAGGGUGAUCGGCCACACUGGGACUGAGACACGGCCCAGACUCCUACGGGAGGAAGCAGUAGGGAAUCUUCCGCAAUGGACGAAAGUCUGACGGAGCAACGCCGCGUGAGUGAUGAAGGCUUUCGGGUCGUAAAACUCUGUUGUUAGGGAAGAACAAGUGCUAGUUGAAUAAGCUGACACCUUGACGGUACCUAACCAGAAAGCCACGGCUAACUACGUGCCAGCCGCCGCGGUAA
rnacentral:rRNA from 1 species